rnacentral:rRNA from 1 species
AACGGCCGCGGUAUAUUGACCGUGCAAAGGUAGCAUAAUCAUUAGUCUUUUAAUAGGAGACUGGUAUGAAGGGUUCAACGAAAUACUAACUGUCUCAAUUUAACUUAUUAUAAUUUGAUUUUUGAGUCAAAAAGCUUAAAUUUAAUUGAAGGACGAGAAGACCCUAUAGAGCUUUAUAAUUAGUAUUAAUAGUUAUUUUUAUUUUAUUUUUAUUGUAUUAAUAUUAAUUUUUUUGUUGGGGUGACAACAAAUAUAUGAAUAACUUUUUUAUUUACUGAUCAUUAAUUUAUGUUUAAUAGAUCCUUUACUAUUGAUUAUUAGAGUAAGUUACCUUAGGGAUAACAGCGUAAUCUUCCUUCCGAGUUCAUAUUUACAGGGAGGGUUGCGACCUCGAUGUUGGAUUA